GGCAUCUUGCUCCACUAAUCCUAUAAAAUUGUUGCAGGAUAAAGUUUUGGUAGGAAGUAAUGCUGUGGUAACUAGUUACAGUCUGCACUGCCACUUGUAGCAGCCAGUAGUUCUAGUACGGCAUUAACUGUUCUCUGUCUUAAUGCAUUUUCGUGUUGAUUUCUUUGUGUCAAAGACUGCUUCUUGUGGGGUCUAGCUGAGGACUUUAAGACUAGGUGUUCUGAGCCUCAUUCUAGAACCCAUGUGCUCUUCAGCCAGCAGAGUCCAAAGAUACAUUAAUCCUCUCUGAUACUGUUAAUUCGAAGACUGCGCUUUGUGUGACCGAUCCAGCUGCUUCUGAGACUAAGACUGGUGAUGGUCUUGUAAACAGUGUUUUCAUGGGCAAUUGCAUGGAAAAUGUUUGUGUUGAGGCCAAGCUGGGCUCCUGUAGGACUGAGACAUGAGCCAGGUCAGAUCCAGAGGACUCAGUUUGCUCUGGAUCCCCGGAGGUGCUCAUUUCAGCUCCCACUGGGGGUUCAGGAGAGCCCGACCAGCUUUUUCCUGUGUCAGCUGGGGGUUCAGUAGAGUCCAGCCAACAGCUUCCUGUUGGACUUUUUGUGCUCCUGUUUUUUUUCUUUGUAAUGUCUUUGUCCAAGUCUCCCCUGUCCGUUUCUUCAGGCAUGUCUCGCUCCCUUUCUCAAGCUGGUGUUGUCACAGUUUAUGACUUGCUAUGUUUCCUGUUGUAUUUUGACAGUCCUGCGUUCCAUGUUCAAUAUGUUUGGUUUUGCUUCCCCUGUGGCGUCAUGUUCAUUUGUGUCAGCUGUGUUUCCUGUUUGUUUCCACUUCCCACACUACACAUCUGUGUAUUUAAGUCCUCUGUCUCCCAUUGUUCUUUGUCAGGUCAUCUGUUUUCCUCUCCUCAUGUUCCUGGAAUUUAUGUUUUCUCCAGUCUCGGUUUUCUCAGGUUCAUGUUUAUGUUUAACGUUCAUAUUCAGAGUUUUUCCAUGUCUAGCUUUAGUUUUCCUAGUUCAGGUUAUAGUUUAGUUUUCGCCUUCGCCAUUUGUUUUGGUGUUUUUCUAUCAGCCAGAAUAAACAUCUUGUUUUUUAUUUAAGUUCAGUUCUGUCCCUUGUGAUUCUCCUUGUGUGUUUGUUCGCUCCGCAAACACACCGGCCAUUCGUCCGUAACAUUUUGAGCAGUUCCACACAUUUUGCUGUCCUCACUAAAGUUUGUUCCAGGCAACAUAAUUUCAGCUAUACA
rnacentral:lncRNA from 1 species